UUACCUGGCCUUGACAUACUAAGAACUUUCCAGAGAUGGAUUGGUGCCUUCGGGAACUUAGAUACAGGUGCUGCAUGGCUGUCGUCAGCUCGUGUCGUGAGAUGUUGGGUUAAGUCCCGCAACGAGCGCAACCCUUUUCCUUAUUUGCCAGCGGGUUAAGCCGGGAACUUUAAGGAUACUGCCAGUGACAAACUGGAGGAAGGCGGGGACGACGUCAAGUCAUCAUGGCCCUUACGGCCAGGGCUACACACGUGCUACAAUGGUCGGUACAAAGGGUUGCUACCUCGCGAGAGGAUGCUAAUCUCAAAAAGCCGAUCGUAGUCCGGAUCGCAGUCUGCAACUCGACUGCGUGAAGUCGGAAUCGCUAGUAAUCGCGGAUCAGAAUGCCGCGGUGGAUACGUUCCCGGGCCUUGUACACACCGCCCGUCACACCAUGGGAGUUUGUUGCACCAGAAGUAGGUAGUCUAACCGCAAGGAGGACGCUUACCACGGUGUGGCCGAUGACUGGGGUGAAGUCGUAACAAGGUAAGCGUAGAUGA
rnacentral:rRNA from 1 species